rnacentral:rRNA from 1 species
AGCAGCCGCCGCGGUAAUACAAAGGGGGCUAGCGUUGCUCGGAAUCACUGGGCGUAAAGGGUGCGUAGGCGGGUCUUUAAGUCAGGGGUGAAAUCCUGGAGCUCAACUCCAGAACUGCCUUUGAUACUGAAGAUCUUGAGUUCGGGAGAGGUGAGUGGUACUGCGAGUGUAGAGGUGAGAUUCGUAGAUAUUCGCAAGAACACCAGUGGCGAAGGCGGCUCACUGGCCCGAUACUGACGCUGAGGCACGAAAGCGUGGGGAGCAAACAGGAUUAGAUACCCCGGUAGUCCCUGUCUCUUAUAC